GGGCAGAGGUGGGGAUGGGUCAGAGGGUAAAGGUAUACUAGGGAUAUAGAGUCAGUGAGCAGUCAACAAGUGUUGACAUUUACCUGCUUACAGGUAGGUGUCAUGGCUAUCCAUACCCGCUUACAGGUAGGUGUCAUGGCUAUCCGUACCCGCUACAGGUAGGUGUCAUGGCUAUCCGUACCCACUACAGGUAGGUGUCAUGGCUAUCCGUACCCGCUUACAGGUAGGUGUCAUGGCUAUCCGUACCCGCUACAGGUAGGUGUCAUGGCUAUCCGUACCCGCUACAGGUAGGUGUCAUGGCUAUCCGUACCCGCUACAGGUAGGUGUCAUGGCUAUCCGUACCCGCUACAGGUAGGUGUCAUGGCUAUCCGUACCCGCUACAGGUAGGUGUCAUGGCUAUCCGUACCCGCUUACAGGUAGGUGUCAUGGCUAUCCGUACCCGCUACAGGUAGGUGUCAUGGCUAUCCGUACCCGCUUACAGGUAGGUGUCAUGGCUAUCCGUACCCGCUUACAGGUAGGUGUCAUGGCUAUCCAUACCCGCUUACAGGUAGGUGUCAUGGCUAUCCGUACCCGCUUACAGGUAGGUGUCAUGGCUAUCCGUACCCGCUUACAGGUAGGUGUCAUGGCUAUCCGUACCCGCUUACAGGUAGGUGUCAUGGCUAUCCGUACCCGCUUACAGGUAGGUGUCAUGGCUAUCCGUACCCGCUUACAGGUAGGUGUCAUGGCUAUCCGUACCCGCUUACAGGUAGGUGUCAUGGCUAUCCGUACCCGCUUACAGGUAGGUGUCAUGGCUAUCCGUACCCGCUUACAGGUAGGUGUCAUGGCUAUCCGUACCCGCUUACAGGUAGGUGUCAUGGCUAUCCGUACCCGCUUACAGGUAGGUGUCAUGGCUAUCCGUACCCGCUUACAGGUAGGUGUCAUGGCCAUCCGUACCCGCUUACAGGUAGGUGUCAUGGCCAUCCGUACCCGCUUACAGGUGGGUGUCAUGGCUAUCCGUACCCGCUUACAGGUAGGUGUCAUGGCUAUCCGUACCCGCUACAGGUAGGUGUCAUGGCUAUCCGUACCCGCUUACAGGUAGGUGUCAUGGCUAUCCAUACCCGCUUACAGGUAGGUGUCAUGGCUAUCCGUAGCUGCUACAGGUAGGUGUCAUACUCUGUGCUGCUCAGGCUCUGAUUGGAUCCUAGCAGGGCUGUGUCUUUGAGGGGGGAGGGCUCGCUGGGUUCAAAGUAGCCUGCCACUGGGGUCGGAGAGCUAUUUUUCUUCCCAUUCUUCUGCUCUUUGGU